UACGUAGGGUGCAAGCGUUGUCCGGAAUUAUUGGGCGUAAAGAGCUCGUAGGCGGUGUGUCGCGUCGGCCGUGAAAACCUGCAGCUUAACUGUGGGCUUGCGGUCGAUACGGGCAUCACUGGAGUUCGGCAGGGGAGACUGGAAUUCCUGGUGUAGCGGUGAAAUGCGCAGAUAUCGGGAGGAACACCAAUGGCGAAGGCAGCUCGCUGGGACGGUACUGACGCUGAGACACGAAAGCGUGGGGAGCAAACAGG
rnacentral:rRNA from 1 species